rnacentral:rRNA from 1 species
CACGGGGGGGAGCAAGCGUUGUUCGGAAUCACUGGGCGUAAAGGGCGUGUAGGCGGUUCGGUAAGUGAGAUGUGAAAUCCUCCGGCUCACCCGGAGACCUGCAUCUCAAACUGCCGGACUAGAGUAUGGGAGAGGACAAGGGAAUUCCUGGUGUAGCGGUGAAAUGCGCAGAUAUCGGGAGGAACACCUAUGGCGAAGGCAGCUCGCUGGGACGUUACUGACGCUGAGACGCGAAAGCGUGGGGAGCAAACAGG